GCCCUGGUGGUCUAGCGGUUAAGAUGCAGCACUCUCACCGCUGUGGCCUGGGUUCGUUUCCGGGUUAGGGAA
rnacentral:tRNA from 1 species